UACAGAGGGGGCAAGCGUUGUUCGGAAUUACUGGGCGUAAAGGGCGCGUAGGCGGCCGCCUAAGUCAGACGUGAAAUCCCUCGGCUCAACCGGGGAACUGCGUCUGAUACUGGGUGGCUUGAAUUCGGGAGAGGGAUGCGGAAUUCCAGGUGUAGCGGUGAAAUGCGUAGAUAUCUGGAGGAACACCGGUGGCGAAGGCGGCAUCCUGGACCGAGAUUGACGCUGAGGAGCGAAAGCCAGGGGAGCAAACGGG
rnacentral:rRNA from 1 species